rnacentral:tRNA from 1 species
GCCCAGGUGGUGAAAUUGGUAGACACGCUAGCUUCAGGUGCUAGUGGCUGAAAGGUCGUGGAGGUUCAAGUCCUCUCCUGGGCACCA